rnacentral:rRNA from 1 species
GAUGAACGCUGGCGGCGUGCCUAAUACAUGCAAGUCGAGCGAACAGACGAGGAGCUUGCUCCUUCGACGUUAGCGGCGGACGGGUGAGUAACACGUAGGUAACCUACCUAUAAGACUGGGAUAACUUCGGGAAACCGGAGCUAAUACCGGAUAAUAUUUCGAACCGCAUUGUUCGAUAGUGAAAGAUGGCUUUUCUAUCACUUAUAGAUGGACCUGCGCCGUAUUAGCUAGUUGGUAAGGUAACGGCUUACCAAGGCAACGAUACGUAGCCGACCUGAGAGGGUGAUUGGACACACUGGAACUGAGACACGGUCCAGACUCCUACGGGAGGACGCAGUAGAGAAUCUUCCGCAAUGGGCGAAAGCCUGACGGAGCAACGCCGCGUGAGUGAUGAAGGUCUUCGGAUCGUAAAACUCUGUUAUUAGGGAAGAACAAACGUGUAAGUACCUGUGCACGUCUUGACGGUACCUAAUCAGAAAGCCACGGCUAACUACGUG